ACUGCUGAUACCACUGUGCCCAUGUUUGGAUUGGAAGACAAAAGGACAUUCCUGCACCCCAGACAGAAAGCUACUACCCCUCUGCAUGUAUCUUCAUCUUCCCCUGACUUCUUUACUUCAUUCCCUUUCUCAGGCCGUUUUCUUCCUGUCCUUCCAGUUGAAAAACAAUCCUCUUUCUAAUUUCUUUUUUUUUUUUAUUUAGUGCACUACAGCACUUUGUUUCUCUCUUUUAAUGUUUAUACCCUUGUUUUUUUCCCUGACUGCAAUUAACUAAAAAUGUUUAGAAUCUACCCCAUAGAACAGACUCUGCAGGCCCUUAACUCACCCUGGCCAGUGAACUACUGCCUUUCUCUAUUCAUCUUGCUUUCCCAAACGACUACUUAAAACGUCAACUCUCUUCCAACCUCAGAUCUUCCAGUUUACAUCCUUGCUUUUGGCAGAUGACAUUGUCUCAUAUUUUGUUAAGAAAAUAGAAAGUCUCAAAGAGGAAUUGCCUGAACUUCAGACCUCCAAAUCUACAAACUAAGUUAUAUCUGCACUUGUCCUCACUUCUUUUGCUUGUUUCAAUGCGGCAAUUUCCUUCUACCCGAAGUCAACCCUUAUAUUUGUGCUCUGGCUCCUUCCCUCUCAGGAAACUGUAUAAAUGCAGUAUCCCUCUCUCUUGCUCUUGUAUUUUUAACCUCUUUCUCUCUACAGGCUCAUUUCCAUCAAUGAUAAACAUGCUACAGUAUCUUGCCGUCAUAACUACUAUCCUUUCUUUCACAGUUGGGCAUUUCAAAGCAUUGUUUGCAUUUGUCUAAACUUGACAUAAUCGGUAAUUGUCUAUUUCAGACAAUUUGUUUAGUGACAAUCUUUUACUAUACUGUAAGCUUUGUGAGGAAACAGACCAUGUCUGCUCUAUUCACCACUGUAUCCUCAGAGCAUAGCAUGAUGUUGGCUAAAGCAGGUACUCAAUACAUAUUUGCAAAUGGAUGAAUAAUGGAUGAAUAGAAUGUAGAGAAUAGAGAGAUUAUAUAAUAAUACAUAUUAUACAUAUAAUAACAUCGGUGAUUUAUAAUGAUUACAAUUUGUAAUUGACUCUGGAUGUGCGGGAAAUUUCUGAAAUACACAGCAAAUGUUAACAGUUCAUGGCACCAUAGGAUGCACUCAGUAAGUAUUUGUUAAAUGAAUGAAAGAAAUUAUCUCUCGAUGGCAUCAUAGAGCAGGUGAGUUUCACCUUGUUUAUAUUUUUCUGUAUUUGAAUUUUUUACAAUAAUUUUGCAUUCUUUUUCUCUUUUUUUAAAAAUAGUACAAGGCGGCUUCCCUGGUGGUGCAGUGGUUAAGAAUCCGCCUGCCAAUGCAGGGGACACGGGUUCGAGCCCUGGUCCGGGAAGAUCCCACAUGCCGCAGAGCAACUAAGCCUAUGUGCCACAACUCCUGAGCCUGCACUCUAGAGCCCGUGAGCCACAACUACUGAGCACACGUGCCACAACUACUGAAGCCCGCGCACCUAGAGCCUGUGCUCCGCAACAAGAGAAGCCACCACAAUGAGAAGCCCAUGCAGCACAACAAAGGGCUGUGGCUUUCCUGGUUCUUUGUCUAGAGAGAACAGGCUUUUGUCUGAGCCCACUGACAUUUCCAGGUUGUCAGUAUCUCUAGCACCCCAACUAUGAAGUAAAAAGAAAACUCAGAGAACUCACUGCCUUGUCUUUCCAGGGCUUCCCUGGUGGCACAGUGGUUAAGAAUCUGCCUGCCAAUGCAGGGGAUACGGGUUCAAGCCCUGGUCCAGGAAGAUCCCUCAUGCCACGGAGCAACUAAGCCUGUGCACCACAACUACUGAGCCUGCAUGUAGAGCCCGCAAGCCACAACUACUGAACCCAUGUGCCACAACUACUGAAGCCCGCGUGCCUAGAGCCCAUGCUCUGCAACAAGAGAAGCCACCGCAAUGAGAAGCCUGUGCACCACAGCGAAGAGUAGCCCCCGCUCACUCCAACUAGAGAAAGCCCGCAUGCAGCAGCGAAAACCCAAUGCAGCCAAAUAUAAAUAAAUAAGUAUAUUUAUUUUAAAAAUAUAUAUCUAGGGGACUUCCCUGGCAGUCCAGUGGUUAAGACUUUGCCUUCCAAUGUAGGGGGUGCAGGUUUGAUCCCUGGUCGGGGAGCUAAGAUCCCACAUCCCUCGAGGCCGAAAGAACAGAAAACAGAAGCAAUAUUGUAACAAAUUCAAUAAAGACUUUAAAAAAUACUGGUCCACAUCAAAAAAAAUCAUUAAGGGCUUCCCUGGUGGCGCAGUGGUUGAGAGUCCGCCUGCCGAUGCAGGGGACACGGGUUCGUGCCCCGGUCCAGGAGGAUCCCACAUGCCGCGGAGCGGCUGGGCCCGUGAGCCAUGGCCGCUGAGCCUGCGCGUCCAGAGCCUGUGUUCCAAAACGGGAGAGGCCACAACAGUGAGAGGCCCGCGUACCACAAAAAAAAAAAAAAAAAAACUCUAAGUUUUAAUUCAAUAGUUCUCAAACAACAGCUUAUGGACCUAUUUGUGUCAUGGUUUCCAUCAACCUUUCACUUUCAAAAUUAGAAAUAUAAAGAUCACGUAGUGCAUUUUCAUAAAGCCAAAUGGAAAAAUCAUAUUCUUUUUCAUUGAUAGCUUUUAUUACUUCUCUCAGGUCUGUGUUUAUCCUUCCUGGAAUUUCCAGAGCUUCAUUAUUCGUAGUGAAAUAAAUUUCAUAGAGAAUUUACAUUUAGUAUUUAAAAUUUCAUUGAUAACAUCAAAGUGAUACAUUUUUUUCUUGAUGCUGUAUAAGUAUUACCUCAAGUGAUUUGUUUUGAAAUAUUAUUUAUGGUG